AAAGAUUAAGCCAUGCAUGUAUAAGUAUAAACGCUUCAAGCGUGAAACCGCGAACGGCUCAUUACAACAGCUAUAAUUUACUUGAUCUUGACAAUCUACUUGGAUAACUGUGGUAAUUCUAGAGCUAAUACAUGCACCAAAGCUUUGUCCAGCGAUGGAGGAGCGCAUUUAUUAGAACAAAACCAUACGGCUUCGGCCGUCCAUUGUUGACUCAGAAUAACUCAGCUGAUCGUACGGUCUUGCACCAACGACGUGUCUUUCAAGUAUCUGCCUUAUCAACUUUCGAUGGUAGUGUAUUUGACUACCAUGGUGGUGACGGGUAACGGAGGAUCAGGGUUCGACUCCGGAGAAGGGGCCUGAGAAAUGGCCACUACGUCUAAGGAUGGCAGCAGGCGCGCAAAUUACCCACUCUCAGAAUUUGGAGGAGGUAGUGACGAGAAAUAACGAGGCUGUUCUCUUCAGAGGCCAGCCAUCGGAAUGGGUGCAAUUUAAACCCUUCAACGAGUAUCUAUGAGAGGGCAAGCCUGGUGCCAGCAGCCGCGGUAAUUCCAGCUCUCAAAAUGCAUAGAAUUAUUGCUGCGGUUAAAAAGCUCGUAGUUGGAUCUGUGCUGGCGCGCCGGUCAAUCUUCGGAUUCGUACUGGUUAGCGUUGGCUUUCCUGCAGUGUUCGGCUGUCGCGCUUUAAUCGGCGUGUGCAGAUCGAUGCUGCAAGUUUACUUUGAACAAAUCAGAGUGCUUCAAACGGGCGUUUCGCUCGAAUGUUCUUGCAUGGAAUAAUAGAAGAGGAUUUCGGUUCUAUUUUAUUGGUUUUAUAGACUGAGAUAAUGGUUAACAGAGACAAACGGGGGCAUUCCUAUUGCUACGUGAGAGGUGAAAUUCUUGGACCGCAGCAAGAGGGACUACAGCGAAAGCAUUUGCCAAGAAUG
rnacentral:rRNA from 1 species